rnacentral:rRNA from 1 species
AUUGAACGCUGGCGGCAGGCUUAACUCAUGCAAGUCGAGCGAGCGGCGGACGGGUGAGUAAUGUCUGGGAAACUGCCUGAUGGAGGGGGAUAACUAAUGGAAACGGUAGCUAAUACCGCAUACCCUCAGAAGUGCCCAUAUGGGAUUAGCUAGUAGGUGGGGUAAGGGCUCACCUAGGCGCCGAUCCCUAGCUGGUCUGAGAGGAUGACCAGCCACACUGGAGCGUGGACACGGGCCAGACUCCUACGGGAGGCAGCAUUGGGGAAUAUUGCACAAUGGGCGCAAGCCUGAUGCAGCCAUGCCGCGUGUGUGAAGAAGGCCUGCGGGUUGUAAAGCACUUUCAGCGAGGAGGCGUUACUCGCAGAAGAAGCACCGGCUAACUACGUGCCAGCCGCCGCGGUAAUUC